GUGGUAUAAAUAUUGGUGGGACGUUUGUCUAUACCAAAGAGUAUAUCUUGUCGAUUUUCACGGGGUGUAGAGCCUAACCCAGGGUAUAUCUUGGAAUACUUAAGAAUCGGGCAAGUGGCACUUUUAAAUUCCCCAAAUGAUUCAAGGUGGCCCAGUUUGUACAUUAUGAAAAAGCGUUUCCAUUCUUUAACUUUUUUUCUUAGAUGAGGGUUUACUAAACGAGGACUAUUUUGUAUAAAACACUUUUUUAGGGUUAAGGGUUGUCCAAAAAAAAUUAGCCGCUCACACUUAUGUUUUAGAGUCUCACUCCAGCCAAAGUCCCAAAGUUGGCAACCCUGCUAUUAUAGUAUUAAGAUGUGUUAUUUUUCUCUUCCACAGGUUUUGUUUGUUAUUGCUGCGACCGUCAACGGCUGUCAUCCCAUCCUGGCCAAAAGAGGACGAAGGUUAAGGUUACUGACUGCAAGUCAUCGGCCUACAACUUAGAGGUUUUGUUUGUUAUUGCUACGACCUUCAACGACUGCUGUCAUCCCAUCCUGGCCAAAAGAGGACGAAGGUUAAGGUUACUGACUGCAAGUCAUCGGCCUACAACUUAGA
ensembl:lncRNA